CUACGUAGGUGACAAGCGUUAUCCGGAUUUACUGGGCGUAAAGGGCGUGUAGGCGGUCUUGCAAGUCAGAAGUGAAAUUCCUGAGCUCAACUCGGGCGCUGCUUCUGAAACUGCAGGACUUGAGUGCUGGAGGGGAUAGCGGAAUUCCUAGUGGAGCGGUAAAAUGCGCAGAUAUUAGGAAGAACACCGGUGGCGAAGGCGGCUAUCUGGACAGUAACUGACGCUGAGGCGCGAAAGCGUGGGGAGCAAACAGGAUUAGAUACCCUGGUAGUCCACACUGUAAACGAUGAAUGCUAGGUGUAAGAGGUAUCGACCCCUUUUGUGCCGGAGUUAACACAAUAAGCAUUCCGCCUGGGGAGUACGGCCGCAAGGUUGAAACUCAAAUGAAUUGACGGGG
rnacentral:rRNA from 1 species